GUUCGACCACUGAACCCUGAGUCAAGCAACUCCUCCCAAUCCACUUCCUCUUCUUCAACCUCUUUUUCUCGCAUCACCUCCAAUAUCCUCCUCACCUUUUCUUUAGCCUUCUCGCUCUUCAUUUUCUCCAUCUUUUGCAACAUUUCCACAACUCCAACCUCCUUUGCCACCGCCUUAAACCUCAAUCCGCCAUGACUCAAUGCAUGCAAAACCGCAACACAACUCUCUUUGGUCGACUCAGACUCCAACUCGUUCCCACACAAUAAACCCACCAAACACUCCACAACACCUGCAUCCAACAUAGCAGCCCGACCAUCCGAUCCAAACCCUAAAUUACCCAACAUCAACAAAACUUGAUCCAUCAUAUGACCCGACUUAACCAUCCCCAACAAAACCGAAACAAACCCUAGCUUAACCAUCUUAGCCCGAUUACUCCUCACUAAAGACAAAUGACAAAGUGCCAAACCCGAGUCAUGGCGCGUCUUUUCACUCUCUGAUUUAAGCGCGUGAAGCAAUGGCAAAAGAGCACCUAAAACACCAAUCGCAGUUUUAUUAUCAUCAUCAAGCGCUAAACUAAACAUCGCACACGAAGCAUGUUCCUGCGAUUCACACGAUCCAAACCUCAAAACCUCAAUCAACGGUGGAACAAUUCCUGACCGGACUAUCUUCACUUUGUUAACUUUCUCAAGUGAAAGGUUGACCAAUGAAGCAAGUGCAUUGACUCUUACAACCUCGUUCUUAGACAAAAUCAAAGAACGCAGAAAACAUAGUACCCUAUUGCUGCAAAGUUGAACUCUACUUUCCAAAUUCGUUCUUGUGAUUUUUCUGAGUGAGAUUAAACCUUCUUCUACUAUAACCAAUUCAUGGUUUCUGAGUUUUGUUACUAUUUCUUCUUCUUCCGGUGUUGUUGAAGGUUCAAGUUCAGAUGAAGAAGGUGAAGAGUAACAGAAACUUUGAAGCUGUGGUGGUGUUGUUCUUGUUGAUGAUGAUGAAGUGACAGUAGCUAUAGAUUCCUCUGAGCUUGAGUAGGAGGUUUUUCGUGGUGUUAACAUUGAUAUUGGUCGUGUUUCUUCUUCUUGGUCGUUUUUAUUUGAUACGAGGUUGUUUUGGUUACGCUGAUGUUGUUUUGAAGACAUUAGUUUGAGUACGAGGUUGUUUUGAUUCUGUUCAUGUUGUUUUGAAGACAUAAGUUUGAGUACGAGGUUUUCAGUGGUUGUUAGAUUUGGAUUGGUUUGCAUUUUGGUUUGGGUUUGAGUCCAUUUGAGAAUGGAGGAUUUGAGGUUAAGAUUUGGUAUUAAUGUUGUGAAAUUUGGGGUGGUGCCAUCAGCAAGUUGGGGGGUGUAGUUGAGAUUUUUACAUGCUUGUACUGAGGUUCGGUCAAAGGAAUGACCAGAGGAGACAAUUACAGGAUCAGACAUGAGAGAACCUGAAAUGGGGCAUAGAAAUUCUUGAGGUGGGUUUUGGUUUUGGGUAGCUUUUGUUGUGUUGAAGAAAAUCAUCAUUUUCUUCCAUUUCAUCUUUGGAGUAGUAGUUGCAAUUGGUUCUAAUGAUUUUGAUUCCUUUUUGGAACCACCCCAUUUCUUGUUUGUGUUUUUGUGAAUCUCCAUGAAAUGGUUCAACUUGUUUGUGUUUUUGUGUGUUUCAAUAAGGUUGGUAUCUUUCGUUUUGGGGGGGUGUGAAGAACAAGUUGUUUAGAGAGAUAAGAUUAAGGUUAAGGAAGAGUGGAGAUUCCAUCUUGAAAAUUUGUGGUUAGAACUUUGAACUCAAAUGAGAUUGAGUUGAAGAGAGUCUUAAGACAAAGGGAAAGGUUGAUUGUGAAAGAAGAGAAGAAGAUGAGUUGAGGGGUAGCAUGGACAUGUUAGUGUAUUGGCUUUUUAGUUGUUGAUUGGGUGAGGAAAGAAAAAAGGAGUGAAUGGUUGUGUGAGGAAAAUGAUGAUGAUUUGGUGUUGGAGUUGAAGGAAAGGUUACGGGGGAAUGGAGAGUUUUGAUUGAUUCCUUUUGCUUUAUGAAAAUAUAAAUGUGAAAAGCUUAUGAGGUUGGUGAUUAUGUUCCUAAGAAACUCAUAUUU
rnacentral:lncRNA from 1 species